rnacentral:rRNA from 1 species
UGGGGAAUAUUGCACAAUGGGCGAAAGCCUGAUGCAGCAACGCCGCGUGAGUGAUGAAGGCCUUCGGGUUGUAAAGCUCUGUCUUUUGGGACGAUAAUGACGGUACCAAAGGAGGAAGCCACGGCUAACUACGUGCCAGCAGCCGCGGUAAUACGUAGGUGGCAAGCGUUGUCCGGAUUUACUGGGCGUAAAGGAUGCGUAGGCGGAUUUUUAAGUGAGAUGUGAAAUACCCGGGCUUAACUUGGGUGCUGCAUUUCAAACUGGGAAUCUAGAGUGCGGGAGAGGAGAAUGGAAUUCCUAGUGUAGCGGUGAAAUGCGUAGAGAUUAGGAAGAACACCAGUGGCGAAGGCGAUUCUCUGGACCGUAACUGACGCUGAGGCAUGAAAGCGUGGGUAGCAAACAGGAUUAGAUACCCUGGUAGUCCACGCCGUAAACGAUGAGUACUAGGUGUAGGAGGUAUCGACCCCUUCUGUGCCGCAGUUAACACAAUCAAGUACUCCGCCUGGGAAGUACGAUCGC